rnacentral:rRNA from 1 species
AGCGAACGCUGGCGGCGUGCUUAACACAUGCAAGUCGAACGUGAAAUGUAGCAAUACAGAGUAAAGUGGCGUACGGGUGAGUAACACGUGGGUAAUCUACCAAAGUGUCUGGAAUAACCGAUCGAAAGGUUGGCUAAUACUGGAUAGUUCAAGCUUGUUAUAAUGGCAAGAUUGGGAAAGGGAGCUGGCAACAGCCUUCGCAUUUUGAUGAGCUCGCGUCUGAUUAGUUAGUUGGUAAGGUAAUGGCUUACCAAGACGAAGAUCAGUAGCUGGUCUGAGAGGAUGAUCAGCCACACUGGAACUGAAACACGGUCCAGACUCCUACGGAGGCAGCAGUGGGGGAAUCUUGCGCAAUGGACGAAAGUCUGACGCAGCCACGCCGCGUGAGUGAAGAAGGCCU